GAGAGCGGGGCGCGGGCUCGACCCGGGCCGCGGGGGACACCUGGCUGCAGGCGCUGCCGCCUCCUCGCUUUGUAAGAGCGGCACCUCGAGUCCCGGGGCCAGGGGCUCUGCGGCUGCCUCCCUCCCUCGCUCGCCCGCCCGCCGGAGAUGUUCGUCUUCCUCGGCUGACAGUUACUGUUCCAAGUGACCCUGAUUCACCAUGUGCUGAGAUGGUGAUGUCAGAUCACAAAACUUCAACUGGAGUUUGCAGCUGGCUAAAAUAAGUAAGCUUACAUGCUGCUUUUUCCCAAGUUGGGAGAAAUAUUUAGUAGAGAUGGACCGAAGCUGAUGAUCACAUCUACCUCCACAAAUAGCAAGCAACAGUACCAACGUGGAGCAAGUGCCACAUUUCUACAGGUUCUGACCUUUCUAUAGAGGAGAACUGAUUCUGGAGAACAACUUAACUUCUGUGAUUGAAAACCCCUAUAUUCUAUGUGAAAAGAGAUUGGACAUUAAGGUUAUAACAAAUUAAGAUAGGCUGUACUGGUACUAUGUGAUAACAACUUGUUGGCCUCAAUUGAACAAGCAUUCUUAUGUGUCCCCUGAAGGAUGGACAAAUGGGCUGGAGAAUGAUUGUUAAGAGGAGGUUGUAUGACUGGUUAUUCAAAGAAAGAGGACUUUCCCGUCCUGAAUACAUGCCACCACUAUUCAUGGGUGGGAAAGACUGUUGGUAGGAAUUUUUUAUCCAGGGCUACAAGUGAGACUUCCCAAUGUUUCUGAAGUAACUCUUAGGAGAGCUUGGUUCCCCUUUGGCUCACUGAAAAGGAUUCCUGGAUGCCGAGUCUGAUAUUACAAGGAAACAUUUCAGAGAAUUGCAAGAAUUCUUGUUGGCAUUGCCACCACCCCAAGCUUAAAGUCUCAAGUAAGUAUCUGAACUUAACCAAAAUAGCCCUGUAAUUUCAGAUAUCUUUAUGACUGGUUUGGAUUACCCUAUGAUUGUUUAAUAAAUGACAUGGAUAUAGCCCCAAACUCCAAAUCAAUCAUACUUUGGUUCAUUUAACCUACAAAGACACAUUCUGUAUGUUAGAAUCAACCCAGGAUCGGUUGAUAUAAAAUAAGCCCAGAAAUAGGUUUCACCUGUAAGCUCCUAACCUUUUUCUGGCUAAAAUCAAUAUUUGUUCAAACUCAGCAAUAGGCAAAAAAUCAGGGCAGCGCAAAAUAGUCCAUAUCCGAGGAUCUGAGAUUAUUAAAAUGAGCGCUUGUACUGGGCUUGUUGAUCUCCUUGUUCUUCUUCAUCUUUGCUGAUCUGGACCCUGAGCUCUGCCUGCCUGGAUCUACACACAGUACCUGCUUGAUCUUCCCUGCCUUUGCUGAUCUCCUGGACUUUGCCUGUCUACAUGGACCCAUGGUACCCGCUUGUUCCUCCCUGCCUUUGCUGAUCUCCUGGAUUCUGGACUUUUGUUUUUCUACUGGAACUGAUUUGCUCCUCCCUGUAUUAAUUGACCCUACUCUGUCCUUAACCCCUUGCCUGCCUAUACUUUUGGUAUCUAGCAAAUGCCUGUGGAUUAACUGAACACCCUUCCCUGCCCUCUCCUAUCUACCACAUUCCAUGACACCCAAGUCCCCCUGCAUGACAGUGGGGAUUUAUUGGCUUCUUUAAAAAAAUAAAUAUAAUAAGAAAACUACCUGGCAUUAUAGAAUUCAUUUCCUUUUUAAAGCUUAAAUUCAUUAUUUUUAAAUCUCCCUAAAAUUUACUAGACCUCCUAGUAGGACUUUUAGUUGCCCUCUCCUCCCCAUUUUAUAGUCAAGUGUAUAGGAUAAGAUAUCUUCUGAGCAGGAUUCUAUAAUACUCAGGAAGCCAUGAUGCUUUCUAGAGGGUCACAGUUCAUGUCUUAGGCUUCCUUUAUAUAUCCUAUAAUGCACAAUAUUAACACAUUAGGAGAUUUUCAAUAAAUACUAAGAAAUCUAGACUCGUUCUGUAAUUUCAUUGGUAUUGGGAAUUCUCUGGUAAGGGAACUCCCUCUAUCAAAUGCAGGUUGGCCUCUGCAACUAGAGGACUGAGAGAUUAAGUCUAUGACCCUUCUUUCCCAGGGUCCCACAGCCAGUAUGUAUGAGGGCCAAGACUUGAACCUGGGUCUUCCUAGCUUCAAGAAUAGCUAGUUCACUAUCCACUAUGCCAAAAUGUUGUUAGUAAGAGAAUUCAAUAAAAGUGGCAAAAGAUGGGAGGAAAAUAAAGAUGAGCAAAGUAGAUAAACAAUUGUAUUUAAACAGAAGGAAAUUUUUUUAAAAAGUUCAUACUAAAUAUUUUAAUACAAUAAUUUUGUAUAAUUGGGUUUUUCAGUUUUUGCCAAUUUUUUUUAAAAAAUCAUUUUAGGAAUGUAGUCUUUAAUAGAGUAUAGCCUAUAUUCUGAUAAAUAUGGUACAAGUUCAGUGAAAUUGAAGUAGGGACCUGUUCAAGGAGAUGGAAGGAUGAGGUGAUGAGUUAUAGUCUAGUUUCAGCUUUAAAUCUUCCUGGAACUGCCUUUGGGAUUAAACAGACAGAGCCAAAUCUAAAUGAAAAUCCUAUUUGUUCCAAACCUUUUACUAUUCAAGCCACAUUUCCUAUUAUGCCCUUAAUACCACCAUGCCCUUUGAUGAAAAUGUAAUGUGAAAUGUUUGUGUAUGACAGUUAUGAGGAAUUUUUAUUUAUUCAUGUUCUUUGAUUUCCAUAUUUAUCACGUAAUUUGUCUUCAUAAAAUGUUUAUGUCCAUUUAUUAUAUGUACUUUAUUUGAGGUAAGGGACUGCAUCUUAGUUCAUCUUUGUAUCCCUGAUGCCUGGCACAGUGCUUUGAAUUACUGUGUUUAAUAAAUAUUUAUUAUGUA